GAUGAACGCUGGCGGCGUGCCUAAUACAUGCAAGUCGAGCGAAUGGAUUAAGAGCUUGCUCUUAUGAAGUUAGCGGCGGACGGGUGAGUAACACGUGGGUAACCUGCCCAUAAGACUGGGAUAACUCCGGGAAACCGGGGCUAAUACCGGAUAACAUUUUGAACCGCAUGGUUCGAAAUUGAAAGGCGGCUUCGGCUGUCACUUAUGGAUGGACCCGCGUCGCAUUAGCUAGUUGCUGAGGUAACGGCUCACCAAGGCAACGAUGCGUAGCCGACCUGAGAGGGUGAUCGGCCACACUGGGACUGAGACACGGACCAGACUCCUACGGGAGGCAGCAGUAGGGAAUCUUCCGCAAUGGACGAAAGUCUGACGGAGCAACGCCGCGUGAGUGAUGAAGGCUUUCGGGUCGUAAAACUCUGUUGUUAGGGAAGAACAAGUGCUAGUUGAAUAAGCUGGCACCUUGACGGUACCUAACCAGAAAGCCACGGCUAACUACGUGCCAGCCGCCGCCGUAA
rnacentral:rRNA from 1 species